rnacentral:rRNA from 1 species
UACGUAGGUGGCAAGCGUUGUCCGGAUUUAUUGGGCUUAAAGGGUGCGUAGGCGGUUCCAUAAGUCAGUGGUGAAAUACGGCAGCUCAACCGUCGAGGUGCCAUUGAUACUGCGGAACUUGAGUACUGAUGAGGUAGGCGGAAUUGACGGUGUAGCGGUGAAAUGCUUAGAUAUCGUCAAGAACACCGAUAGCGAAGGCAGCUUACCAAGCAGUAACUGACGCUGAGGCACGAAAGUGCGGGGAUCAAACAGG